rnacentral:rRNA from 1 species
GGGGGAAUUUUGGACAAUGGGGGCAACCCUGAUCCAGCCAUGCCGCGUGCGGGAAGAAGGCCUUCGGGUUGUAAACCGCUUUUAGCCGGGAAGAAAAGGCGCGGGCUAAUACCUCGUGUUUUUGACGGUACCGGCGGAAUAAGCACCGGCUAACUACGUGCCAGCAGCCGCGGUAAUACGUAGGGUGCGAGCGUUAAUCGGAGUUACUGGGCGUAAAGCGCGUGUAGGCGGUUGCCAUAGUCAGGUGUGAAAGCCUUGAGCUCAACUCAAGAAAUGCACUUGAUACUGGGCGACUAGAGGACCGGAGAGGAUAGUGGAAUUCCCAGUGUAGUGGUGAAAUACGUAGAGAUUGGGAAGAACACCAGUGGCGAAGGCGGCUAUCUGGACGGUUUCUGACGCUAAGACGCGAAAGCGUGGGGAGCAAAC